rnacentral:piRNA from 1 species
UUUGAAGGUUUUCACUUUCUUUAGACUUGC